UACGGAGGGUGCAAGCGUUAAUCGGAAUUACUGGGCGUAAAGCGCACGUAGGUGGUUUGUUAAGCUAGCUGUGAAAUCCCCGGGCUCAACCUGGGCACUGCAGUUAGAACUGGCAAGCUAGAGUAGGGUAGAGGGGUGUGGAAUUUCCUGUGUAGCGGUGAAAUGCGUAGAUAUAGGAAGGAACACCAGUGGCGAAGGCGACUACCUGGACUGAUACUGACACUGAGGUGCGAAAGCGUGGGGAGCAAACAGGAUUAGAAACCCGUGUAGU
rnacentral:rRNA from 1 species